UAGGGAAUCUUCCGCAAUGGGCGAAAGCCUGACGGAGCAACGCCGCGUGAGUGAAGAAGGUCUUCGGAUCGUAAAAUUCUGUUAUUAGGGAAGAACAAAUGUGUAAGUAACUAUGCACGUCUUGACGGUACCUAAUCAGAAAGCCACGGCUAACUACGUGCCAGCAGCCGCGGUAAUACGUAGGUGGCAAGCGUUAUCCGGAAUUAUUGGGCGUAAAGCGCGCGUAGGCGGUUUUUUAAGUCUGAUGUGAAAGCCCACGGCUCAACCGUGGAGGGUCAUUGGAAACUGGAAAACUUGAGUGCAGAAGAGGAAAGUGGAAUUCCAUGUGUAGCGGUGAAAUGCGCAGAGAUAUGGAGGAGCACCAGUGGCGAAGGCGACUUUCUGGUCUGUAACUGACGCUGAUGUGCGAAAGCGUGGGGAUCAAACAGGAUUAGAUACCCUGGUAGUCCACGCCGUAAACGAUGAGUGCUAAGUGUUAGGGGGUUUCCGCCCCUUAGUGCUGCAGCUAACGCAUUAAGCACUCCGCCUGGGGAGUACGACCGCAAGGUU
rnacentral:rRNA from 1 species